rnacentral:misc_RNA from 3 species
CAACCCUCAAGCCCUAGCGGUUUGGUGUUGGCGGCCGGGUGGCCCUCGUGCUACCCGCCGCCGAAAUGCAGGGGCGGUCGCCUCGCGGUAACCAUUACGCAGUAGUAACAUCUCGUAACUGGGACGCGGAGCGGCCACGCCUAACCCCAAUUCUUUCUAG